rnacentral:rRNA from 1 species
AGAGUUUGAUCAUGGCUCAGGAUAAACGCUGGCGGCGUGCCUAACACAUGCAAGUCGAACGCUCUUCGCAAGAAGAGAGUGGCGGACGGGUGAGGAACACGUGGGUCAUCUACCUUUCGGUGAGGAAUACCGGCGAGAAAUCGCCGACAAUACCGCAUAGCUUUCGCAAGAAAGAAAGCUCGCAAGGGCGCCGGAAGAUGAGCCCGCGGCUGAUUAGCUAGUUGGUGGGGUGACGGCUCACCAAGGCGACGAUCGGUAGCUGGUCUGAGAGGAUGAUCAGCCAGACUGGGACUGAGAACGGCCCAGACUCCUACGGGAGGCAGCAGUCGGGAAUUUUGCCCAAUGGACGAAAGUCUGAGGCAGCAACUCCGCGUGAGGGAUGACGGCCUUCGGGUUGUAAACCUCUUUUCUCAGGGAAGAUCCAAGACGGUACCUGAGGAAUAAGCCACGGCUAACUACGUGCCAGCCGCCGCGGUAAUAC